rnacentral:rRNA from 1 species
AUUGAACGCUGGCGGCAUGCUUUACACAUGCAAGUCGAACGGUAACAGGUUAAGCUGACGAGUGGCGAACGGGUGAGUAAUGUAUCGGAACGUACCAGUGAGAGGGGGACAACGUAGCGAAAGUUACGCUAAUACCGCAUAUUCUCUCCGGAGGAAAGCAGGGGACCGCAAGGCCUUGCGCUCCUUGAGCGGCCGAUAUCAGAUUAGCGAGUUGGUGAGGUAAAGGCUAACCAAGGCGACGAUCUGUAGCGGGUCUGAGAGGAUGAUCCGCCAAACUGGAACUGGGACACGGUCCAGACUCCUACGGGAGGCAGCAGUGGGGAAUUUUGGACAAUGGGGGCAACCCUGAUCCAGCCAUGCCGCGUGAGUGAAGAAGGCCUUCGGGUUGUAAAGCUCUUUCGGCCGGGAAAAAAUCGCAUGGGCUAAUACCCUGUGUGGAUGAUGGUACCGGAAUAAGAAGCACCGGCUAACUACGUGCCAGCAGCCGCAGUAA